UGUGGGGGGGGAACAGGGAGGGUGAAAACCACCCAGCGGAGCCGCCGGGGCGGGGAGGAAACCUGCGCCAGGAGCCACGUGCUGGAGCCGGCGCUGGGUGGGUGGCUCGGGGAGCGGUGGGGGAGGGAGAGGCCCUUGCUGGGAAAGGCCCCAGGCCACGUUUCUGGGGGAGGAGAAGAACCGCGGGUGGACACCCUGGGCCCCAGGCCACCAGGGAACCUUCACCUCCGUCUGGAUAAUGCAGCCCAGAUCUCUUUGAUGGGAGCAGCUCUGGCCAAGCCCUGCCUGCUUGGGGUUGGACCUGAAGAAAUGCACUGGCCUAACCUAAUUGCCUUUUCGGACCUCGGUGGGACGGCGCUGGGGCUGGGACGGGAGGCUCUCCCACCUCACACCCUUCAAAGGGGAUGUACGUCCAAGGGUCGAAGAAUUGGAGAGCCUAAGUAAACCCAGGGUGGUUGGCUGUCCAGGGAAGGUGGGGGGAGUCGUAGGAAGAAGAAAGGAAGCAUGCAAAAGAAGGAAGAAGCAUUUAAGCACGUGAUAAGGACAUAACUGCAGUCCUUGGAAAGGUGGAUUUCCUACUCCCUGGGAAUUUAAGCCAAAAUCCCCUCAGCAGAGAAAAUGGAUUAGCUGCAGGAAGGAAUGAGACACGUUGAGGAGUCUGGGCUGCUUCCGAGUGGAUGCUCAAGAAGGGCUAGAGACCCUUUAAGAAGCACCCACCUGCAGUGGCCUAAGUGGCACCUAGAAACUUCUGUAAACCCUUACGGUUUUUCCUGCCUAAUCAAUCAGGAAGGGAGAGGAGCCAGGAAGUCAAGGCGGCAAACCUCCACAGGUGCCUGGGUUUCCUCCCCUGCCCUCCAUCUCACCUCACUCCCCCCACCCAUGGACCCCCCCCAUGACCCCCUCUCCCCGCCCCCUGCAACCAGGAGCAAACACAACUGCCACUGGUGGGCCCCCUGCUGGAAUUUAUUCUCAGUCUCUUUUCCAGCUUUGCCAUGCUGUUCUUUCAAAGCCACAGCUCAACAAGUGAUGCCAGCCCAGGGAGGGGGUGUCGUCUGUGUCUCCUCUUGCAGGCGGAAGCAGCACCACAGCCGGGAGAACAAAACCCGUUUGGAUCUGUCCAGAGCUGUUUGUCAGUACUGCCUUCCAGGACCACGUGAGCUGCCUCUUGCCCCACGUGACCCUCAUUCAAACUCAGGGAGAACGAGAGCUCCCGGGCCCCUUCUCCUCGGACAGCCUAAUCCCACGUGUGCAGAUGGGUGGCUCAUUUCUGCCAGCUCAAAAUAA
rnacentral:lncRNA from 1 species